GAUCAUGGCUCAGGACGAACGCUGGCGGCGUGCUUAACACAUGCAAGUCGAGCGAAGCACUUAGGAAAGAUUCUUCGGAUGAUUUCCUAUUUGACUGAGCGGCGGACGGGUGAGUAACGCGUGGGUAACCUGCCUCAUACAGGGGGAUAACAGUUAGAAAUGACUGCUAAUACCGCAUAAGACCACAGCACCGCAUGGUGCAGGGGUAAAAACUCCGGUGGUAUGAGAUGGACCCGCGU
rnacentral:rRNA from 1 species